AGAGUGAACGCUGGCGGCAGGCCUAAUACAUGCAAGUCGAACGGCAGCACAGCAGAGCUUGCUCUGUGGGUGGCGAGUGGCGGACGGGUGAGGAAUACAUGGGAAUCUGCCCAGUCGUGGGGGAUAACGUAGGGAAACUUACGCUAAUACCGCAUGCGCCCUUCGGGGGGAAAGCCGGGGACCUUCGGGCCUGGCGCGAUUGGAUGAGCCCAUGUCGGAUUAGCUAGUUGGCGGGGUAAAGCCCACCAAGGCGACGAUCCGUAGCUGGUCUGAGAGGAUGAUCAGCCACACUGGAACUGAGACACGGUCCAGACUCCUACGGGAGCAGCAGUAGGGAAUAUGGACAAUGGGCACAAGCCUGAUCCAGCCAUGCCGCGUGUGUGAAGAAGGCCUUGGUUGUAAAGCUACGUUUUGUACCGGAAAGAAAAGCGACGUAGGUUAACACCCGUGGUACGUCCGUGACGGUACCGGAAGAAUAACGCGACCGGACUAACGUCGU
rnacentral:rRNA from 1 species